GUGUAUGCCAUACAGGGGCAAUUGACUGCAGACCAGGAAAAUAAAAAGAGAGAUCACGGUGUAUAUCACCUUUUCUCUGAAUGGAAUUUUCCUGUCAGCACUUUGAACUUCAGGCAAGAAUGCCAGAAAUGGCCUGACAAGAUGAAGUACUCUGAAUCCCCCAGCCAUUUUCCGUGAUGUGUAGAUCUAGAAGAGAAAUUGAGGGCGGCGAGAAGGGGACGGACGGUCUAGGGCUUGCAGCGGAAAGGGGAGGGCGGC
rnacentral:misc_RNA from 1 species